CAAGUCAUCCAGGUACACGACACAACGCCUCCGGGGGACGCCCGCCAGCACCCUCUCCAUCAUCCGCUCGAACCUCGCCGGUGCGUUGCAUAACCUGAACGCCAUGACCCGAAACUGCCACAACCCCUGCCCGAUGGUGAACGCAGUCCAACCGCUCCCCGGCGUCUAGUAAGCAGCUCCCGGCUGUGGCUGCCGACGGCAUGCUGCCUGAAACGCCUCCAAGGCCCGGGUCCUGUUGGUCCACUGGGGCAAGGUCCAGAAGAACCAGCACUGCCGUUCCCUCCAACGCUAGGGCAAGCUGGGCAGCGGACUCGUCCACGCUCCAGCCGUAGUGUCGUGCGGCGAUCCUGAACUGCGCCAAAGCUGCUGCAAGAAAAGCUGGGCGAUUGAACUGCACGACACGAAAAAUGACUGGAUAACUUUUUGGAAUGUGAGAUAGUAUAUGUUUUGAUCUGUUGUGAGACACACAAGAGCGAUUGUUAAUGGUCUCAUUGUGUCACGAUCGGGGUGAGCGUUGUGUUACGGAUGGGAAACACAAAGCGAAGGUGGCUCGCUGGAGUUUUUAAAUCCGCCUGCGUGCAUUCGGCACACUGGCAGCGGUAAAAGGAACACCCUCUCUCUCGCUCUCUCUCUCUCUCUCUCUCUCUAAUACACUUUCUCUCACUCACUCUUCCUCUCGUUUGGCUCCCGCUCUUUAUUAUACACACACAAUUCUGCGGGAAUGCAGCAACAACGACUUAAUGUCAUCCUAUUGCAAAAGGCUCGAAAAUUUAGCUACAGACAGAGGACACCGGCGGAAGAUGCAUAGGCGUAUUCUUCAGGCGUGGACACAGUAAUGGUAGCGUGACUGGCCCGCUCCAGGGUUGAUGAUUUUAUUAAACGCGUGCACGUUUAAGGCGGAGCACAGGGUCAGCGCUGUUUGGAUUCGUCAGGCGCGCAGGUCGCUCUGUUUAAAUGGGCCAAGGGCAGCACCAUGCCCGGAAUCAAGUCCCUCACCGGUCCAGGAGCAGCCC
ensembl:lncRNA